rnacentral:lncRNA from 1 species
GCCGGAAAUGAGUACACCUCUAUGGUCCAAAAGGCUUUUUUGCGUCGCGCUUCCGACGACUUCCUGCGGCUUCUCUCGCGGGGAUUGGCUGUUGGCGGCGUUGUGGCUGAGCUCGUGUGCGGCGGCAGUAUCGACAGCGGCUGCAGCAAAGAAGAGUUUGGCGCGAUGUCUCAUACCAUUCUGCUGGUACAGCCAACCAAGAGGCCAGAAGGCAGAACUUAUGCUGACUAUGAAUCUGUGAAUGAAUGCAUGGAAGUUACCGAGCUGAUACCCAGACAUACCAGCCUUAUAACAAAGACUGGAUCAAAGAGAAGAUCUACGUGCUCCUUCGUCGGCAGGCUCAACAGGCCGGGAAAUGAUUGAGCUGGAAGCAUUAGGGGGCUGGGGGUGGGCUUGGAACACAGGUGUGUACAGCGUGCUGUAGUGAAAGUUUUUUAUUAUAGUAAUCCUGUUUCCAUUUUGUUACACUCUGGCCAAGAUUGAAUGUAUUAGAUGAAAUGUGAGGGUCUUUGAGGAUCUUUUCAAUCUGAAACCCCAGUUGCCCCCCUUUUUUUUCCUUCCUUUUUUUUUUUUUACUUAAACAUUUUUAUGAUUUAGGUUGCAGUUGCUCUUUGUCAGUUUAUGUUGGUUCCAGUCCUUCGAACUAUUCAUAUCUGCUUUAUAACAUUCACCGUACUAACCCUUCAAGAUCGGGUGGGGGGUGGUUGACACAGUUUAGUUAUGUCCUCAAGAUAAAGUCUUAGUGAAAAAUAAAUAAAUGUUCUUUAGUUAUGGUUUCUCA